GACGAACGCUGGCGGCGUGCCUAAUACAUGCAAGUCGAGCGAAUGGAUUAAGAGCUUGCUCUUAUGAAGUUAGCGGCGGACGGGUGAGUAACACGUGGGUAACCUGCCCAUAAGACUGGGAUAACUCCGGGAAACCGGGGCUAAUACCGGAUAACAUUUUGAACCGCAUGGUUCGAAAUUGAAAGGCGGCUUCGGCUGUCACUUAUGGAUGGACCCGCGUCGCAUUAGCUAGUUGGUGAGGUAACGGCUCACCAAGGCAACGAUGCGUAGCCGACCUGAGAGGGUGAUCGGCCACACUGGGACUGGGACACGGCCCAGACUCCUACGGGAGGCAGCAGUAGGGAAUCUUCCGCAAUGGACGAAAGUCUGACGGAGCAACGCCGCGUGAGUGAUGAAGGCUUUCGGGUCGUAAAACUCUGUUGUUAGGGAAGAACAAGUGCUAGUUGAAUAAGCUGGCACCUUGACGGUACCUGACCAGAAAGCCACGGCUAACUACGUGCCAGCCGCCGCGGUAA
rnacentral:rRNA from 1 species